CCUGGGCAGGUUGCUUGCUCUUCCUGUGCUUCAGUGCUUUCGCCUGUGAAGCGGAGGCGACAGGGCCUACGUUGCAGGGCUGCUGUGCAGGCGGGACAGAAAAUGAGCAAGUAAGUGAGUGAGUGCCGCAUAGGAAUGUCACGUGGCCAGGAGGACCGAGAGGGGGCCCGGAAGACUUGACGUUGUAGACGGGGUGGCCAAGGAGGGCCUCACUGAAGAGGGGGCAUCGGCGUAAAGGCCUGAAGGAUGUGAGGGUGUGAGGCACACAGAUAUCGAGUGAAGUGAUCGAAGCAGGACCAACAGCCAGUGCAAAGGCCCUGAAGGCCUGGCUGCUCUAGGAGACAGGAUCCUUCUGGCGGCCGCUGGGGCAGAGGCGGGGAGCACAGGACGGAGGCUACUGCAGCCGUCCAGGCAAGAGGGCGUGGGGGCUGGACCAGGGGCAGCAGUGGGGCUGGAAGCAGUUGGCUCUCUUCUGGAUAGACUUCAAAGGUCCACCCAGCACAGAGAGAUGUCAGAAAGACGCCUAGGUUUGGUCGAGGCACCUGGAAGACGGGAGGAUGGGGAGGUGGAGAAAGCUGGGUCAGGGCAGAUGUGGACCUGGGGGGCUGCGCAGUGAAAGCAGCUGAGGAGGAGGCUGGGAGCAGAGGCCCAUGGGGGACACGGCGCAGGCACCCCGUUGGGGAUGCAUGAGUGGGAGGGGGCAAGUGUAGAUGGCCGUGAGGACAGCGGCAGCCCGUGGUGCGCAGCCAGCUAGGACGGACGGAUGCUGACAUCAUUUGUCAACUCGGGGUCCAGGGGAGGGGCCUGGACGCAGCUCCGGAACGCGGGCCGGGGAGGCGACGCCGGGGGAGCCUGGGCGGCUGGGGGCCGCAGCCCUCCCCUCCCCCUCGCCACCUGCGGGGUCGGUCAGACCCGGCCUUUGUCCCGCGCCGAAGCCCCGCCGCCCCGCGCCGCGCCCCCCGAGCAAACACA